GCUUGUCUCAAAGAUUAAGCCAUGCAUGUCUAAGUGUAAAUAAGUCUAUACUGUGAAACUGCGAAUGGCUCAUUAAAUCAGUUAUCGUUUAUUUGAUGAUCUCUUACUACUUGGAUAACCGUAGUAAUUCUAGAGCUAAUACAUGCACAAAGGCCCGACUCACGAAGGGCUGUAUUUAUUAGAUUUAAAGCCGACAUCUUUUGGUGAUUCAUAAUAACUUUUCGAACCUCAUGCCUUUAUGGUGGAGGUGAUUCAUUCAAAUUUCUGCCCUAUCAAUUGGCGAUGGUAGGAUAGAGGCCUACCAUGGUGUUAACGGGUGACGGGGGAUUAGGGUUCGAUUCCGGAGAGGCAGCCUGAGAAACGGCUACCACAUCCAAGGAAGGCAGCAGG
rnacentral:rRNA from 1 species